rnacentral:rRNA from 1 species
UACGUAGGGUGCAAGCGUUGUCCGGAAUCAUUGGGCGUAAAGAGCGUGUAGGCGGCUCGAUUAGUCCGCUGUAAAAAGUCCAGGGCUCAACCCUGGGAUGCCGGUGGAAACUGUCGGGCUAGAGUCCGGGAGAGGCGAGUGGAAUUCCUGGUGUAGCGGUGAAAUGCGCAGAUAUCAGGAGGAACACCAAUGGCGAAGGCAGCUCGCUGGAACGGUACUGACGCUGAGACGCGAAAGCGUGGGGAGCGAACAGG